GAAAGAUUUUAUUUUUAAUAAUCUCCACACCCAACAUGGGGCUUGAACUCACAACCCCAAGAUCAAGAAUUGUACACUCCACUGACCAAGCCCGUCAGGC